UAUAUAGAGAAGGUUGUUAUGAUUGAGAGAGUAAUAUAGAGAAAAAAAAUCUCGCUGAACUCCUAGUUAAGGAAAUGGAAGAAGGAAGGAGAGCCUGACAAAGAGGAAACAAAGGAAGAAAAAAACCUUGAAGGUGCAGGUUAGUGGAGAAAGGUCUUCAAGACACAACAGUUUCAGAUAGUUGUUAGUUUUAGUUACUUCUGUAAAGAGGAUGAGAAUGAGGAGAACAGAGAAAUCUGUCACUUGUAUGUCAAGUAGAAAGUUUUUUGUAGACGAAAAUUUUGUUAAAGUAGUGGGUAUUUAAGCAUUUUGAAAGUACUUCUGUUUUCAAGCUUAACAGGAAUGAGGUAGAAUUCCUUUCAAGAAUUUUAUAGAGCUUA
rnacentral:lncRNA from 1 species